rnacentral:rRNA from 1 species
AACGAACGCUGGCGGCAGGCUUAACACAUGCAAGUCGAGCGCCCCGCAAGGGGAGCGGCAGACGGGUGAGUAACGCGUGGGAAUCUACCGUGCCCUACGGAAUAGCUCCGGGAAACUGGAAUUAAUACCGUAUACGCCCUACGGGGGAAAGAUUUAUCGGGGUAUGAUGAGCCCGCGUUGGAUUAGCUAGUUGGUGGGGUAAAGGCCUACCAAGGCGACGAUCCAUAGCUGGUCUGAGAGGAUGAUGAGCCACAUUGGGACUGAGACACGGCCCAGACUCCUACGGGAGGCAGCAGUGGGGAAUAUUGGACAAUGGGCGCAAGCCUGAUCCAGCCAUGCCGCGUGAGUGAUGAAGGUCUUAGGAUUGUAAAGCUCUUUCACCGGUGAAGAUAAUGACGGUAACCGGAGAAGAAGCCCCGGCUAACUUCGUGCCAGCCGCCGCAGUAA